CAUCUCUCUUUUAUUUAUUUAAUACAUACGUUAAGUAACAGAAUUCUGAGCUCAUUGUCAAGCUGAGAAAGAGUUUGUGCAGUAUUGUACCGGGUACUAUGGAUUAGGGGCAGUGAUGUGCUGAUAAACCAGCUCUCUAAAAAAGUGAAAUAAUAAUAACAACAAUAACAGUAAAUAAUAAUAAUAGUACAAUCCUGAUUUGUAGCAUUUUUCAAUGUCCAUGGCCUAAGUACUCCCACUAUGGCCAAUCUCAAGGUGCCACUGUGACAUCAGCAAAAGUGCAAUUGGGAACAGAGGUGUUGAGAGGAGAUGAUAAACAAUCAACUCUUCAAAGCCAGUGAGAGUCCCUGGCUUCUGAUGGGCCUCUGACAUUUGUUCUGACAUCUGGGAAAAUGAAAAAUUCAACGUUGCCAGUGAGGACACACUGAGAAGGCAGCCAGCCAUCUGCAAGCCAGGAGAAGUGUUCUCAACAGAAACCAAAUUGUCCAGAACUUUGAUCUUGGACUUUCAGCUUCCAAAACUCCAGCAUCCCAAUCCCAGAUUCAAAGCGACAUUUUAAAGCCCAGAGCAUGGUGGACUGACCCCCAAGGGAAGAUUAUAGAAUAAAAACUCCAUUAGAAUGAUAGAGACUCGUCACUCCUUUAAACACCUUAUUCAGUAAAUAUUUAUUAGGCACCAUCUGAGUGCAUGGGUGCUGAGAAUUCUCUAUUUAGAGCUUUUGAGGAAAAUACAGAGAAAACGGAUUGAAAACAGGCAAUAGUGGUUCCCAGCUAUCUGGAGGUAGCCUUUUGAGGAAGUUCACUGAUGGAAGACAUUCCAGGGAUUGGUCACAUGUCUGAAGGGAGAAGACUGGUGACCUAAGAGGACACAAAUCCAGUGCAGGACCCAAAGUUGUGGGUUGUUAUGGAAAAAAAAAAAAAAAA
rnacentral:lncRNA from 1 species